rnacentral:lncRNA from 1 species
UGUAUAUAACUAUGGUAUUGGGGCUGAGUGAGGAAGUUGGAGUGGAGUGUGCUUCUUUCAGAAAGAGAACUGAUAACUUUGAUUGCAGAUUGAAGCAGAAUUAUCUUAACUUUAUCUGUAUUGUUCUAUUUUUUUGUGUGUUUUCUUUUGUAAUAUAGCUAAUACUGAAAUAUAUUUUACAUGAUUUCGUAUGUGUAAUUCAUAUCAAGUUGCUUGCCUUCCCAAGGAAUAGGAAGGGGAGAAAGGCAGGUGGGAGAGAAUCUAGAACUCAAAAUUAAAAAAAAAAAAUGAUUGUUAAAACUUUUUUACAUAUAAUUUGUGAAAUAUUUUUUAAAAUUAAAAAUUAUUAAAAACAAACAAACAAAAAGAAAACGAAGGACAAACAACAAUUUGGGAAUCAUGCAGGGAAAUUAUUUCUGGCCUGCUCUGACACAUGGCCAAGGCCAUGGAGAUGCAGAACAAACAAAUGAUCUGGUGGACGUGGAAUAUCUUUCACCCUGGAGCAAUGGGAAGGAAGAAGAGAUAAAUUUAAAGCUAAUCUGCUAUCCAAUUUCAUCCUCCUUUUUCUCCUCUUCUUUGUUCCAGCUUAAUUCAUUAUUUAUUGUAUACUAUAUUCUAUACAAUAAAUGUUAUAUUCAUACUAUAUUCCAUUUAUUUAAAGGGAAAAAAAUCUUCUUUGGGCAAAUAAAACUAAACUUUAUGCAAUUCUCUGCUCCUCAUCUCCUAACACUUUGAAUAAUCUGUCAUGCCCUAAUUACAAGAAACUGUAUAUUACUUCUUCCUCCUCUCCUUUCCCCAAGUUGUUUUUUAUGAUCUACUAUUUCCUUUUGAACAUACAAACUCAUAGCUGUCUCUUUUACUUCUCUAAUAACCCUUAAAUGUAGUCUUUUCUUCUUCCAAAAUGUACAUAUUUGAUUACUACCUAGCCCUUUAAAGUCAUUUAAACUUUUUUUUUUUAAAUUUCAUCUCUGCCAAGUGCUGAAUUCUUCAGGAAGAAUACUUGGCAUUCAUGUAAUGUUCUCUUCAUUUUCUUGUUGGAUUAUGUUU